UACGUAGGGGGCGAGCGUUGCCCGGAUUUAUUGGGCGUAAAGAGCUCGUAGGCGGUUCGGUAAGUCGAAUGUGAAAUCUCCACGCUCAACGUGGAGGGGUCAUUCGAAACUGCCGUGACUUGAGUACGGUAGGGGAGUGUGGAAUUCCCGGUGUAGCGGUGAAAUGCGCAGAGAUCGGGAGGAACACCCGUAGCGAAGGCGGCACUCUGGGCCGAUACUGACGCUGAGGAGCGAAAGCGUGGGGAGCAAACAGG
rnacentral:rRNA from 1 species